rnacentral:rRNA from 1 species
GGGGGCUGUCGCUGACCCCUUUUAUAAUAAAAGGGUGUCGUGCACGCCCCUUUGCCCUCAUCUAACACAUCCCUUGUGCAUCACCGCGUGGGCUUUUAAAGCCUGCGUUUUUACCAUACAAACUCGAUUUAAAAGUAUUAGAAUGGAUGAUUAUAUAUGGGAUUAAUAUAACUUUCAACAACGGAUCUCUUGGCUCUCGCAUCGAUGAAGAACGCAGCGAAAUGCGAUACGUAAUGUGAAUUGCAGAAUUCAGUGAAUCAUCGAAUCUUUGAACGCACCUUGCACCCUUCGGUAUUCCGAAGGGUACGUCUGUUUGAGUGUCAUGAAAUAUUCAACCUUUAUCUCUGUUUCAGGGAAUUAAAGGCUUGGACUUUGGAGGUUACUGCUGGCAGACAUAGAUCGUCAGCUCCUCUUAAAAGGAUUARCAGGGUCCCUUUUAACCGAUCCUUGAUGUGAUAAGGUUUCUCCUACAUCUAACGGGAUUCGGCUUUGUAAGGCCUGCUUAUAAUCUCUUAACAAACCCUUUGACCUCAAAUCAGACGAGACUACCCGCUGAACUUAASCAUAUCAAUAAGCGGAGGAA